AGUUGAAACACCUGUUCCCGUACGAUCACCAAAUUUAAGCAACAAUGAGCGUGGCCAGUACCUAGAAUGGUGACCACUUGGGAAUAUCAGGUACUGG